AUUGAACGCUGGCGGCAUGCUUUACACAUGCAAGUCGAACGGCAGCACGGGUGCUUGCACCUGGUGGCGAGUGGCGAACGGGUGAGUAAUGCAUCGGAACGUGCCCAUGAGUGGGGGAUAGCCCGGCGAAAGCCGGAUUAAUACCGCAUACGCCCUUAGGGGGAAGCGGGGGAUCUUCGGACCUCGCGCUAUUGGAGCGGCCGAUGUCGGAUUAGCUAGUAGGUGAGGUAAAGGCUCACCUAGGCGACGAUCCGUAGCUGGUCUGAGAGGAUGAUCAGCCACACUGGGACUGAGACACGGCCCAGACUCCUACGGGAGGCAGCAGUGGGGAAUUUUGGACAAUGGGCGCAAGCCUGAUCCAGCCAUGCCGCGUGAGUG
rnacentral:rRNA from 1 species